ensembl:lncRNA
AGCAGGAGAGUACACCCCAACAACACCGACCCGAAGACAUGACGGGCACGCUCGUUUAUAAGGCGUCUCGCCCUGAGAGUAAAAGCUGGUACCGACUCCGGCAAUCCGUCUGGGUUCCGGGUGUGGGACACGAACCCAUGGCAGAGCCAAGGGUGGAGAAUUCGGCUCCGACUCCAGAAGUGACCCUGACACCGAACCCCAUGGACGGCGAUGAGGAGGGCAAGACUCCUCCGCCGGCUGCGGCCGCUGCCGCAGCAGCACACAUCAUGGUUUAGUAGAACAAUGCAUAUAUUACAUCAAACAUCAAACCGCUAGACCAUAACCAGCCGACAGUUACACUCCCGUUGUCAUUCACACCACUACAUGUCCCGGCAAGGGUCCAAUGCACAAUAGCGAAAUGGCACGAUUAAAAUCCAGUAUCUCCAGUAAUCAGCGUAGAUUGUAGUGUCUCUGGUGGCGGUGCGCCUGUGCUGAGAUGAGCUUCGAGUCCAGACCUACAACACAGUCCUUAUCUCCAGAAAAGCAUUAUCUCAACGCAUACCGAUUUUGGUAGUAGCGUGAUCACAGCAUAUAGUAGUAUUUCUUUUUUAAAUGGGCGUCCUGUCGUGCUUGAUUUUCAUUUCCUUCUUGAAUAUUUCUUGAUCCCGUGGAGGCAGCACCCUCAGCUGAGCUGCCAUCUUGGCUUCAUCAUCAUCAUCCCACCCCUGGCUCAAGCUUGUUUCGCAGAAAAAAAACACGACACUGCCGACAUGUCUUACUCCUACCCAAAAAAGUUCAUCCCGUCUUCCACCUCAAGUACUCAGGUGAAGACGUCCCGGCUGAAGGACAACAGCUGGAUCCGCAAGGAUGAAGAAGAGGAUGAAGACAUUGAUCGAGAUCCUAACUUUGGAAAGACUAUUCUGGGCCACGUUACCACUGUGACCAGUGACAGAUUUAGUUCCAGUCAGGAGGAACUGGACAAGAUAAGCAGGAUGACCACUAACAGGACCAACACUAACAAAAGGAG